rnacentral:rRNA from 1 species
AUUGAACGCUGGCGGCAGGACUAACACAUGCACGUCGAGCGAGCGGCGGACGGGUGAGUAAUGUAUGGGGACUGCCCGAUAGAGGGGGAUAACUACUGGAAACGGUAGCUAAUACCGCAUACUAUCGGAUAACCCAUAUGGGAUUAGCUAGUAGGUCAGGUAAUGGCUCACCUAGGCGACGAUCCCUAGCUGGUAUGAGAGGAUGAUUAGCCAUACUGGGACUGAGACACGGCCCAGACUCCGACGGAGGCAGCAGUGGGGAAUAUUGCACAAUGGGCGCAAGCCUGAUGAAGCCAUGCAGCGUGUAUGAAGAAGGCCCUAGGGUUGUAAAGUACUUUCAGUCGGGAGGAGUUACCGACAGAAGAAGCACCGGCUAACUCCGUGCCAGCAGCCGCGGUAAUUC